UAAAAAUUAGUUAAUUUAUAACAUAAGCUUGUCAGGCUUAAAUUAUUAAAUAUUUAAUAUUUUUAA
rnacentral:tRNA from 1 species